AGCUGUAGUUACAAUGGCUGAAUCACUUCGAUAUAAAUUUAAGGAACAUUUGACUUGCUCUGUUUGUUUGGAACCAUUUAAAGAUCCCAAAGUUUUGCCUUGUCUUCAUUCAUAUUGUCAUGUCUGCAUUGUAAAACUGGCCAAGAAUGCAAAGUCCAAGACUAUCAACUGUCCUGAGUGUCGAUUGGCAGUAGAGGUGAGAAAAUUAAUAAUUUACCCAUUAAUCUACCCACUAUCAUAUUCGGAAUUUCUUUGCAGCAGCAGGCGAGCAGUUUAAAUCUUUAUUUUUGUUUGAGUUCUCAUGGGAG